UACGAAGGGGGCGAGCGUUGUUCGGAAUUACUGGGCGUAAAGGGCGCGUAGGCGGCCGAUCAAGUCAGAUGUGAAAGUCCUGGGCUUAACCUGGGGACUGCAUUUGAUACUGAUUGGCUUGAAUGCAGGAGAGGAUAGCGGAACUUCCCAGUGUAGAGGUGAAAUUCGUAGAUAUUGGGAAGAACACCGGUGGCGAAGGCGGCUAUCUGGACUGUGAUUGACGCUGAGGCGCGAAAGCGUGGGGAGCAAACAGG
rnacentral:rRNA from 1 species